CAAGAGGUAAGAUUAAGCUUUCUAGCAUUGCUUUGAGAAGAAACUUCAUUCUGAGCUGAAAAGUUUUUGGACAGUAUUGCCAUCUUUAGCUGAAAUACUACAUUUCCCAGAAUUCAUUUCUCUUCAUCAGCUCACUGUUAAAGAGUUAGCUUUCGGACUUCGUUUCCCAUAGUUCUUUUCGGGUCUGCGAGUCAACUUCUGAUACUUUUACCGGACUUGCUUAUGAAGUUUUUGCUUUUGCUACAAGAGAUUUGAACCAAGUGUUUUAAGUUUUCAACUAUGGGACAUUGGGAGAUUUCUGUUUUCUCCUCAGCUGGCUUCAGCAGGUGUCUCUCCUUCAUUUGACACCAGCCUGGAUUAGAACCGCACCUGCCUCUUUAGCAUUGAGGCUGGCAUUCCUGAUAGCAACUUUCCUGGGGGCUUGUGUUUGCCUUAGCCAGUCAGUGAAAAGCAAAAACAUUUACAACAGAGCUUUUCCAUAGCUCCUUCAGAGAUUUUCUCCCACUGAUCUUAUUCUCAUUUUGCUUGUUCCUUCCCCACCCCCCAGAUGCAGAGCUUCAGAUAUCUCGGGCGGCUCUGUUCCUCUACUAGCUGCCUUUGGAGAUGCAAGGAGACCGAAGUACUGAAGGGGUCAGUCCACAGGAAGCAAAGGUGCCCCGUUGAAGCCAGAAGAGGGUAUAGGGGAGCUUAGUUGGGUGAGUCUCACCCUUCAAGUGCAAGGUGCCUCUAGGAGGGUGGUGCAGCUAUGAACCUACCUCCUCUGCUCCAUCUUCUGCUGUCAUCAGACUCCAGUGCUGUUUUGGGACUGUUGAAGUAUCCAGCUUCAUGGACUGAGCAGUUUUUCAACCUCUCCAGCGUGUAUAUGCCCACUGUUGGACUAAGACCCUAUCAUAUAAGUGGAUCUAAUAGAUCCCCAUUUAUAAUGCGUAUGGGCGUACGCAUGCGCACGCAGACACGUGCAGGCACAAUUGCUUUUGUUCCUCUAAAGAACCUGUGUAAUAGCUGGAGAAAUGCCAUACCGGGACAGACAAAGGCCAGAUGAGUCGCCCAGCGUAAAGGUGAUAAAAGCUUGACAAAAUAAAAUUCAUGAUCCUAAAUUGGACCCUGACCCUGGAAAAAGACAUUACUGGACCUAAUAGCAAAGAUGUAAAAGGACUAUAUGGAUUAUUGUAUUUAUGUUAAGUUUCUUAAUUUUAAUGACUCUAUAAUAUUCAUUCAUGAAAGAGAACAUAGCCUUUUACUAUCAGGAAACCAUCAAUGAAAAAUUUAGAAUGGACUCUUCUCAGAUCACUUAUUAUCAUAAAUAUAAAUAUAACAUGUAUAUGUAAUAUUAAUAUAUUUAACAUGUAUAUGAUGUUAACAGAUUGCAUGUUUUAUAAACCAUCAUAAUCAUAUGUUUAUGUUUAUAUAGUAUACCUACUAUGUGCAUAAAUAUAGAUAUAUAUGUAUUCAAUAUAAAUAUAAUUAACACAUAGGUAAAGUGAGAGAAAAUUAGAAGGGAGGUGAAGGUUAUAUAUCCAAUAUGCAUUGUUCAUGGUUGGUGGAUAUGUUCUGUCAGAAACAAAAAUUAAUAUGUUUGCAUCUCUCUGUAAUUUUAAAGUUUAUUGGACUAAUAAUAAAUUCACAAGCUACAAUA